AGAGAACACACUGGAGAAGACAGCAGGUUAUUGUGCAUUCAUGUGUUCUUGGAAGCAAUACAUUUCUUAUUGGUAAAAUGCACACAAAAGCUGCUCGAGCCAGAAAAAGAAACAACUGAAGAUGACAUGAGCUGACUAUCUGAGCAACCUACCUGCCCACUAAAUACAUGCAAAAUCCUCACCGCUGAUGCAGAGGUGGCUCAAAGUACAGCUCCUUUUAAUGGCAACUUGUUCCACGAACAUUUUUCCCAAGAAAUUAGUCACGAAGCAGCCUGCCAUUCUGAAAAUGUUGCUGUCACGGUGCUGUGAAGUGUGCUGAAUACUGAUUGAUGGUACGGGCUCCUCGGCUGAGGCUGUUGCAUGAGCGGACACGCAGAGGCAGCUCCGACUCGUAGCCUACCAGAAGAGCGGCGCAGCACAUACAUCACAUUAUAGAGUGUAUUGUACAUGUGAAUUGAAGUUUCAAAAUAAAUCAUAGAAAUGUUGUGUGAAGACAA